AUUUAUGUAGUUUAUAAAAAACAUUACAUUUUCAUUGUAAAAAUAAUAAUUAUAUUCUUAAAUA
rnacentral:tRNA from 1 species